rnacentral:rRNA from 1 species
UACGAAGGGGGCUAGCGUUGCUCGGAAUCACUGGGCGUAAAGGGUGCGUAGGCGGGUCUUUAAGUCAGGGGUGAAAUCCUGGAGCUCAACUCCAGAACUGCCUUUGAUACUGAGGAUCUUGAGUUCGGGAGAGGUGAGUGGAACUGCGAGUGUAGAGGUGAAAUUCGUAGAUAUUCGCAAGAACACCAGUGGCGAAGGCGGCUCAGUGGCCCGAUACUGACGCUGAGGCACGAAAGCGUGGGGAGCAAACAGG